rnacentral:rRNA from 1 species
UGGGGAAUUUUGGACAAUGGGCGAAAGCCUGAUCCAGCAAUGCCGCGUGUGUGAAGAAGGCCUUCGGGUUGUAAAGCACUUUUGUCCGGAAAGAAAUCCUUGGCUCUAAUACAGUCGGGGGAUGACGGUACCGGAAGAAUAAGCACCGGCUAACUACGUGCCAGCAGCCGCGGUAAUACGUAGGGUGCAAGCGUUAAUCGGAAUUACUGGGCGUAAAGCGUGCGCAGGCGGUUUGCUAAGACCGAUGUGAAAUCCCCGGGCUAACCUGGGAACUGCAUUGGUGACUGGCAGGCUAGAGUAUGGCAGAGGGGGGUAGAAUUCCACGUGUAGCAGUGAAAUGCGUAGAGAUGUGGAGGAAUACCGAUGGCGAAGGCAGCCCCCUGGGCCAAUACUGACGCUCAUGCACGAAAGCGUGGGGAGCAAACAGGAUUAGAUACCCUGGUAGUCCACGCCCUAAACGAUGUCAACUAGUUGUUGGGGAUUCAUUUCCUUAGUAACGUAGCUAACGCGUGAAGUUGACCG